rnacentral:rRNA from 1 species
AGUGAACGCUGGCGGUAGGCCUAACACAUGCAAGUCGAACGGCAGCACAGUAAGAGCUUGCUCUUACGGGUGGCGAGUGGCGGACGGGUGAGGAAUACAUCGGAAUCUACUUUUUCGUGGGGGAUAACGUAGGGGAACUUACGCUAAUACCGCAUACGACCUACGGGUGAAAGCAGGGGAUCUUCGGACCUUGCGCGAUUGAACGAGCCGAUGUCGGAUUUGCUAGUUGGCGGGGUAAAGGCCCACCAAGGCGACGAUCCGUAGCUGGUCUGAGAGGAUGAUCAGCCACACUGGAACUGAGACACGGUCCAGACUCCUACGGGAGGCAGCAGUGGGGAAUAUUGGACAAUGGGCGGAAGCCUGAUCCAGCCAUACCGCGUGGGUGAAGAAGGCCUUCGGGUUGUAAAGCCCUUUUGUUGGGAAAGAAAAGCAGCAGGUUAAUACCCCGCUGUUCUGACGGUACCCAAAGAAUAAGCACCGGCUAACUUCGUG